rnacentral:rRNA from 1 species
AUUGAACGCUGGCGGCAGGCCUAACACAUGCAAGUCGAACGGUAACAGGAAGCAGCUUGCUGCUUCGCUGACGAGUGGCGGACGGGUGAGUAAUGUCUGGGAAACUGCCUGAUGGAGGGGGAUAACUACUGGAAACGGUAGCUAAUACCGCAUAACGUCGCAAGACCAAAGAGGGGGACCUUAGGGCCUCUUGCCAUCGGAUGUGCCCAGAUGGGAUUAGCUAGUAGGUGGGGUAACGGCUCACCUAGGCGACGAUCCCUAGCUGGUCUGAGAGGAUGACCGGCCACACUGGAACUGAGACACGGUCCAGACUCCUACGGGAGGCAGCAGUGGGGAAUAUUGCACAAUGGGCGCAAGCCUGAUGCAGCCAUGCCGAGUGUAUGAAGAAGGCCUUCGGGUUGUAAAGUACUUUCAGCGGGGAGGAAGGGAGUAAAGUUAAUACCUUUGCUCAUUGACGUUACCCGCAGAAGAAGCACCGGCUAACUCCGUG